GCAACGGCUGAGAUGAAGAGAGUACGGGUUUGUUAUCAGUGCAGAGAGUCGGUGGAUGGUGAAAACCGACCUGAGCAAAUGCCGGAAGUACACUUCGGAGCCGCAUGGUGAACUCCAUUUGGUCAGUAGCCAGUGCCGGAAACGUCAACGGCGUUUUCGUUAUCUCAAUGAAGUAAAGGCCUUUAUGCCUUUGAUUAGGGUGGUACCGCGAGUAAAACUCGUCCCUUAC
rnacentral:ncRNA from 1 species